CAAUCAAGCGUAUGAGAAAAGAUAGUUAAU
rnacentral:guide_RNA from 1 species